GGAGUACAAAUAAAACGUUAUGUUAUUAUCGAGCGCCUAAACAAAUUUUAUGUGCCCGCUUCUGAAAAAAAAUCAAAAAAAAAAAUAGAUAAAAUAAUGUUUUGGUUCUUAAUUUUUUCUAAGGAAAAACAGAUCUCACUUUACACUUUCUCACAAAGAAAUCGGUGGAAAUCUCAAUCUCUCUCUCGAAAUCUCACUUCCCCUUUCGAAAACUCACUCUUCUGUCUCAACGUUUGUGUCGUCCUUUUGACAGAUCCAGUUCUACCAUCUCUCUCUCUGAUCUAUUUGUUUCCAGAUCUCGUUGCGGUUUAGUCUCUACCGGCGAACCAAUGGAAGAAGAUAUGGCAAGAGAUGUUUUCCUAUGGAUCUCCUUCGUCAUGUCGUCUUUGCCUGCGUGGCUCCGUCACCAUCCUAGAUCUGUCACUGUUUCGACAUCUUAGUUGUUUUCCUAAUUUGAUUUAAGGAUGGUUUUGGGAAAUUUUUUUCCGUCGGAGCGUUGGGCGAUCUUAGGCUUCUCGAUGGUGGAAGGGAGGAGCGAUAUGGUGAGGAUUGACACAACAGAUCGUGAAGACUGUUUUAGAUCUAUUUGAGGUGAAGUCAGAUUCGAGGUUAGGGUUUAAUCUUUCUACUAGUUUGGGUGUAGUUAUCAUGCGGAAGUCUUCUUCUUGCCUUAUUUUGAUUAUCUAAGAAGCUAAGUUGUAUCUUCCAUUGAUGUUUUUUUUCGUUUUCUGUCGGGAUUGAGGUUUCUAAGUACUUUGAAACUAUUACUCCUGAAGACAAGCCAUAGUGGAUUCAUUGAUUUCAAAGUAAGCAAAGAAGGAACUAGGUGCCAAAUACUGGAUUGGUUUUCAAAGGAAGAGGUUGUGGUGGGGGAAGGUCUCAUACUGAUCUGAACUUGUGGUGUUCUUCUCUAUGGUACACUAGGUGGUUUAAAGAACACAAGACAUGUUGAAGUUGAUUACGUGAUGAUAUCAAAGAAGUUUCAAAGAUUAGAGGUCCAAGAGUGUGGAAAAUUCAUGGAGUUUACAAGAGUUUUCUGAACUUAUUUUCUAAUAUGUACUUUUACUUUGUAAUGAUAUUUUGUACCAUUGUUUUAUAUAAAUAUAAUAAAAUUUUGGCAUUUUUCUGUUU